rnacentral:rRNA from 1 species
CGGGGGGCAGCAGUGGGGAAUCUUGUGCAAUGGACGAAAGUCUGACACAGCCACGCCGCGUGCGGGAAGAAGGCCUUCGGGUUGUAAACCGCUUUCAGCAGGAACGAAAAUGACGGUACCUGCAGAAGAAGGAGCGGCCAACUACGUGCCAGCAGCCGCGGUGACACGUAGGCUCCAAGCGUUGUCCGGAUUUAUUGGGCGUAAAGAGCUCGUAGGCGGUUCAGCAAGUCGGGUGUGAAAACUCUGGGCUCAACCCAGAGCCUGCACCCGAAACUGCUGUGACUAGAGUUCGGUAGGGGAGUGGGGAAUUCCUAGUGUAGCGGUGAAAUGCGCAGAUAUUAGGAGGAACACCGAUGGCGAAGGCACCACUCUGGGCCGAAACUGACGCUGAGGAGCGAAAGCGUGGGUAGCAAACAGGAUUAGAUACCCGAGU